GGCAGCAUGAGCAUGGGUAGCACGGCGACAACGGGGAGGCCGUCCCAAUGGAUGUAGAGGCCGCGGGGCAGGCGGCAGCUGCAACUGCGGCCGGCGCACCGUAUAUCUGUUGGCAUAGUUUUUGCCAAUCUCUGAACUUUGCACCUGCCAUUGGACAUAUUACUACCGCUUACCAAUCUCUUAACUUUGCUGCUUAAAGAAACGGGUUUUGAUUUCAUUAAUGGUGGUCUCUGGAACUUAUGUACAUGGUAUGGAUGUAAUGCUUCAUCUAUUUUUCUGAUGCUCCCUGUAGUGUACUCCUUGCAGUUGCAGAGACCCGAUGUGCUGCUUUGUUGGUAGCUCAUCCCUUCACAUGCAUGGAAGCAAAUUUCCUUUCGUUACCGUCUACUGAUACAGGUACAGUGGUACUGACCACUCACAAUACCACUCAUUGCAUUUGGUGCUUUUGAUAGCCGUAUUAUUUUCUUCACCGACCAUUUUCAAAAUUGCUUUCAGUCUCAGUGGUGGCCCUUGAGGCCUUGGCAUAUAAUAAUGAUACGAUUGGCAAAACCAUGCCAUUCUGGCAGAGAUUCUUUUCGCAAUUGCUUUCAGUUCCAUGAUUGAUUGAUUGUCACAAACACAUGUGCCGAAGCAUAUUGUCAGCAUUUUUCCUUUAAGCAGAGACCUAAUUUUCUUGCAUUUUCAGAACCUAACAGGACCAUUGAUCUUCAGUGCUGAAGCUGAUUAAGUGUGUAGCCCUGUAGUCUUCAGUGCAAAACUUCAAGAGGAUAUCUUAGAAGAAUAUUCAUGUGACGAGUUCUUCGGCACUGCAUUAUUUUUACCGCUGCUCCUUGUUCGUGUGAUUGUCGGUUUAUUCUCUUCGCGUGGAAGCAACUUCCCUUCGUUGCUGCCUACUGAGACAAGUGACGUGGCCAUCGAUUAUAUCUGGUGAAUUGUGCGUGCAAGAACCCUAUUUCCUUAACCAGGUCCUCUUCUUCAGAAUUGCUUGAGUCCAGGACUUGGCGAAAUCAUGCAAUUCCGAUAGAUAUUUUUUCGUGUGGAGAUCAGAAGAGCUGAAGGCCAG
rnacentral:lncRNA from 1 species